rnacentral:misc_RNA from 1 species
GAUGAAGAACGCAGCGAAAUGCGAUAAGUAAUGUGAAUUGCAGAAUUCAGUGAAUCAUCGAAUCUUUGAACGCACAUUGCGCCCGCCAGUAUUCUGGCGGGCAUGCCUGUUCGAGCGUCAUUACAGCCCUCAGGCCCCCGGGCCUGGCGUUGGGGAUCGGCGGAAGCCCCCUGCGGGCACAACGCCGUCCCCCAAAUACAGUGGCGGUCCCGCCGCAGCUUCCAUUGCGUAGUAGCUAACACCUCGCAACUGGAGAGCGGCGCGGCCACGCCGUAAAACACCCAACUUCUGAAUGUUGACCUCGAAUCAGGUAGGAAUACCCGCUGAACUUAAGCAUAUCAAUAAGCGGAGGA